UCCUUCAUUCACCAUGAAGUGAUAUUUCUCCCAGUUCAGCACGAGAAUGAAUUCUUCAUAGCUCUAUAGUGCUCUACUAAGGUUCACCAAGCAUAAUUCAAAUAAAUCACCCACUAUAGAGAAAUCAUCCAUGAAUACUUCUAUAGUAUCCUCUACCAUGUCAAAGAAAAUCGACAUCAUGCACCUUUGAAAUUGGUUGGUGCAUUACAUAAUUUGAA
rnacentral:lncRNA from 1 species